UUGGAGGGCAAGUCUGGUGCCAGCAGCCGCGGUAAUUCCAGCUCCAAUAGCGUAUAUUAAAGUUGUUGCAGUUAAAAAGCUCGUAGUUGAAUUUCGGGGUUAGUAGGUUGGUCAUGCCUCUGGUAUGUACUGGUCUCACUGAUUCCUCCUUCCUGAUGAACCUUAAUGCCAUUUAUUUGGUGUUUUGGGGAAUUUGGACUGUUACUUUGAAAAAAUUAGAGUGUUUAAAGCAAGCUAACGCUUGAAUACAUUAGCAUGGAAUAAUGAAAUAGGACGUUCGAUCCUAUUUUGUUGGUUUCUAGGAUUGACGUAAUGAUUAAUAGGGAUAGUUGGGGGCAUUAGUAUUCAAUUGUCAGAGGUGAAAUUCUUGGAUUUAUUGAAGACUAACUUCUGCGAAAGCAUUUGCCAAGGAUGUUUUCAUUAAUCAAGAACGAAAGUUAGGGGAUCGAAGACGAUCAGAUACCGUCGUAGUCUUAACCAUAAACUAUGCCGACUAGGGAUCGGAUGAUGUUAAUUUUUUAAUGACUCAUUCGGCGCCUUACGGGAAAC
rnacentral:rRNA from 1 species